rnacentral:rRNA from 1 species
AGAGUUUGAUCAUGGCUCAGAUUGAACGCUGGCGGCAUGCCUAACACAUGCAAGUCGAACGCGAAGGGGGCUUGCCCUGAGUAGAGUGGCGGACGGGUGAGUAACGCGUAGGAAUCUGCCCAUUAGUGGGGGAUAACCCGGCGAAAGCCGGGCUAAUACCGCAUAUACCCUACGGGGUAAAGCAGGGGAUCUUCGGACCUUGCGCUAGUGGAUGAGCCUGCGUCGGAUUAGCUAGUUGGUAGGGUAAAGGCCUACCAAGGCGACGAUCCGUAGCUGGUCUGAGAGGAUGAUCAGCCACACUGGGACUGAGACACGGCCCAGACUCCUACGGGAGGCAGCAGUGGGGAAUAUUGGACAAUGGGGGCAACCCUGAUCCAGCAAUGCCGCGUGUGUGAAGAAGGCCUUCGGGUUGUAAAGCACUUUCGGUGGGGAGGAAAAAAGUCUGGCUAAUAUCCAGGCUCUUGACGUUACCCAAAGAAGAAGCACCGGCUAACUCUGUGCCAGCAGCCGCGGUAAUACAGAGGGUGCAAGCGUUAAUCGGAAUUACUGGGCGUAAAGCGUGCGUAGGUGGUUCGAUAAGUCAGAUGUGAAAGCCCUGGGCUCAACCUGGGAACUGCAUUUGAUACUGUCAAGCUAGAGUUUAGUAGAGGGAAGUGGAAUUCCACGUUUUAGCGGUGAAAUUGCGUAGAUAUGUGGAGGAACACCAGUGGCGAAGGCGGCUUCCUGGACUAAAAACUGACACUGAGGCACGAAAGC